rnacentral:lncRNA from 1 species
AAUACCCUCUUGUAUGAGAAUUUGGAUAUGGUCAAAGAAUGCAUUCUUCAGUUUUCAUUUGAGCACCCACUAUACAAAAAGAUGUCCCUUAAAAAAAAUAAGAAAAUUAAGUUUUAAAUAACAUUAAAUACUGACAUCUAGAGCAUAUGUUCAACAUAGCCUACUUCUUGCUUGAUUUAAUAUUAAUUGUGGCUGUCCAAAUGAAUAUUAUUGCAAAAUUACCUUGUCCAUAAUAAUUUGUAAACGGUAUAUAGCUGAACACCUGUGCAUGGAAAUAGGAAAUAUUUUCAUGUGUUUACCUUCAGUGCCAUAGAGGCCAAUAUGCACAUUAAAGCCAAGACAUGGAUGUUUAAAAGAAUUUAAUGUUUAAACCAUUACCACUGAUGCUUUCACAUUAUUUAUUAAUAAAAAUCAUAUACUGUCUAAUUUUCUCACU